GGAAAGAUAAGCUAAAUUUAAGCUCACAGGUUCAUACCCUGUUUAUGGAGAUUACUCCUCUUUCUA
rnacentral:tRNA from 1 species